rnacentral:misc_RNA from 1 species
GAGUUGUUCAAAAUGAUCGAUACAGACAACAGCGGGACCAUAACAUUUGAUGAACUUAAAGAUGGCUUGAAAAGAGUGGGAUCUGAACUGAUGGAGCCUGAGAUUCAGCAACUUAUGAAUGCGGCUGAUAUAGACAAUAAUGGGACCAUAGAUUAUGGCGAAUUCCUUGCUGCUACUGUGCACAUGAACAAGUUGGAGAGAGAGGAGAACCUGGUAUCAGCAUUCUCUUAUUUCGACAAAGAUGG